UGCCACAGGCAUCAAGGGGUCCGUAGGGAAUCCCAAGAUGCACUUGGCUGGGACAAAGUAAGUCUCAGGGGCUGAGGAAAGGUUUGGAGCAAGCCUCCUUACCGAGUACUCAGGUGGUACCAGAGAGUAAUGAGGGUAUUGGUAAAGCCUGGUACUCUCAUGAAACCUGGAACUAAAACCUGAGACUGAAGGUUCUCAGUGAGGUGCAAAGGGGAAGUACUGAAGGGUCCGUUGAGCCUGUGGCA
rnacentral:sRNA from 1 species